GCUGUUGUGGCUCAGUGGUAGAGUGCUUGCCUCACAUGUGUGAGGCACUGGGUUCAAUUCUCAGCACCACA
rfam:Ictidomys tridecemlineatus contig130070, whole genome shotgun sequence.